CUGGCACACAGCUGGAGGGAGCCUCCUGCCAGAGGAGCAGAGGCGGCUCACCCAACAAGGAGGGGCAAGGAGGGGCUUCAGUACUCGAAGCAGAUGCAGGGAUGAGCUGGCUCUGUGUCCACGGCUUCUGUUCUCUCAGCCAAAUAAGAAACCAGAUCAUCAGCUGGGAGUGGGGAUAAGGAGGGACUCUGUCAUUGAAAGGGGGGAACGGCAUGAGGCGGAGGUCCCAGAAGUGCCCAGUUGAAAGCCUUGGGUGUAACUUGGAGCAGAGCUGUCUCCCAGGCAGAUGAGGGGCCAGGGCAGGGAAAGCUUGGAGCUAAGCUGAGCUCUGGGUUUUUCCAGGAGCCUUGAGGGUGUGUGCAAAGGCAUGCUGAGAGUGCGGCGCCUUGCACUCUACGCCGUGUGGGUGUGGGGGUGUCAGUGUGCAGGAGUCAGGAGGAGCAGGGGCAGUAAGUAGGCUGCCGGGGUGGGCCAUGGGGGCCAGGAAUGGACAAUGAUGAAAUCACUGGUGAUGGCAAGUCUAAGGAGUCACCGUGCAAAGCAAGGACUGGCAGGAGGUGGGUGGAAACGCCUGUAAGUGCAGAAUCGUCCGUGUGUGGAGAGGUCUUGCAGUUGCCAGGAAUGAUGCCAGGAGAAGAGGUGAAGAAGCUGACCAUGGGAAUCUACGGUGACUGCAAGGGGAGCCAGGCCUUCGGUGGCAAAAUACAUGGAAGACAUUGACUCUUUCAAUAAGAUGGACUGCCCACUAUGUGCCAGGCACUGAACACGCAAAGACGAACCAGUCUCAACCCCUGCGGAUGAGGAGCUCAGCCUAAUGGGAAAGGCAGAAGAGCCUGAGAUCACACGGCUGGGGAACCGUGGGGCAGGAUGGAGUGUGGGUCCUUCGUCUCUUGGCUUCCUGGGUGUCGGAGCUGGGUGUAAAUCCAAGCACCCACCCUGCAGCCUGUGCUCAGCCCACCGUGCUCCAGGCUGCUCAGGCUUUGUGCACGGAGUAGAGUCAGAGGCAACGGAAGAGGAGGUGGCAGCCAGCACUCUUGGGCCCGGGACCCUUGCUUGAGACUUGACAUGAAAUGGAAGAGAGUGCGAGAACUGGAAGGAGAUCACAGUAGCUCUGGCUUUCAGACACAAGUGUCUAUUUCCUCAGUCAAGGAGAAGCCUUCCUCACACCAUGAGAGGUGUGGACCUUGUAUCUCUUACAACAACCAAGGCUGGACACCACCUCCUAAUGUCGUUGGAAAAGCCAGUGCUCCACCUUAUGACCCAAACUGACUGAGAGAAUGUUUGCCAGGCCCCUGGCUGUCUACGAGGAAUGGGAGGCUUUGGAAUUUGAGAAUUUCCCAACAGUGAGAUGCCUCUGAAAUUAUGAAAUGAAUAGGAAUACAUCUUAAGCAAAUGAUGAAUGGAACAAAGAGAGCACUGAGCCAAAGCGGAGGCUGUCUAGUCAAGGUCUCCACCUGCCGCGGGACUGGGGAGAACGGUGUGGCCUCAAGGUCUCCACCUGCCGUGGGACUGGGGAGAACGGUGUGACCUCAAGCAUAUAGCACCAUAGCACUCCUGGGCUGAAAGCCAGCAGCAGCCCCCACUGUCCAUUAGAUGAAGUCCAAAUUCUUUAGCAAGACAUAUGAGCAGUUCCUCAUCAGAUGCAAAAUCUACUUCACUUGUCUCAUUUCCCACUCUUUCCCAUUUUCCUAAAAGCACUGGGCUCCAGCCACACAACUCUAUGCUAUUCCCCGUAUACAACUUACUCAAAUGCACCACCAAGUUUUGCAGAUGGCCCUUGGCCAGACGCCCUCCUCCUUCCUCAUUUUGAAAACAUUCACUUAACUGAGCUCAGCUGUCAUGACUCCAGAAUGAUCUCCCCUAAGGUCUUCAGGUAAAGUGGGUCACUACAAUACAGGUACAGCAAGGCAAAAUUGUCUCCCAUAUUACAGUUGGCCCUCCAUAUCCAUGGGUUCUGCAUCUAUGGAUUCAACCAUCCACAGACAGAAAAUAUUUUUUGAUUGCUUCUGUAUUGAACUUGUACAGACCUUUAUUUCUUGUCAUUAUUCACUGAACAAUACAACAACUGUUUACCUAGCCUUUACAUGUAUUAGUUAUUCUAAAUAAUCUAGAGAUGAUUUAAAGUACACAGGAGGGUGUUUCUAGGUUAUAUGCAAAUACCAUGCCAUUUUAUAUCAGGGACUUGAGCAUCCAUGGAUUUUGGCAUCCAAACAGGUUCCUGGAACCAAUCCCCCUGUAAGGAACAUGGUUGUACUUUGGUCAAGGAUAGGCAGAGAUAAACAUCCAGAAUGACUCCACGAGUUUAGAGUGCAGGUGCAUAAUUCCACUUGCUAUCACAGCCAUGUAGCCAUAACACGGGAAGGCUCAUCAUUUGACUCUAAGCCACUAUUGCCUGUAAAAAGUAUAAUUGUCCUGCUGACACUGUACAGAUGCUCACACCCAGAGAAAGGAAGAGGGCCAAAGCUGUCCAUCUUGCAGACGGACAGGAGGGAGCCAGGACACAGCUCGGCUUGCUUGUGCCCAGAGAGAGAAAGAGUGAAGCUGCUGAACCCGAAGGCAGGGGAGAGCCAGCCACACAGUUGUGGGUGGGAGCCACUGGACUAAGCAGCCAAGACAGGGUGAACAGUGUAGGAAAGCUGCUGAUGAGAGGACAAAGUAAAAGAGCUAAUAUAAGUAAGCUGUUUAUGAGAGCUGCUGCUGAAUAAAACCACAUUGCACUUGCCUACAGCCCCCCAAGUGUUCUUUCAGCUAUCUACUCAUCGACUCACUCCCUCCGGACCUCAGCAUGGGCUGAAACCUGACCCCAAGGGUGAUAUUUGGUGUAGUCAUGGACCUGACACCCCACAGACACUGAAGGAUGACUGUAUAUUAUUAUUGGGUUAUUCCUUAUAUGUUCAUCUUUGCAAUUAGACUAUGAACUGAUCUAACGUGGAAAUGGUUUCUCACUCAUCUUUGUAUCUUCCCCUGCCUCUGAGAACCAGGUAUGUGCUCAAAACUGCCUGUGGGCAUUGCAAUAGCAAAGAUAUGGAAUCAAUAUAGGUGUCCAUCAAUGGAUGAGUGGAUAAAGAAAAUGUGGUGUAUAUACACAAUGGAGUACUACUCAGUCAUAAAUGAGAAUGAAAUCCCAUCAUUUGCCACAACAUGGAACUGGAGGUCAUUAGUUAAGUGAAAUAAACCAGGCACAGAAAGACAAAUAUUGCGUCCACCAUUCAUAAAUGGGAGCUUAAAAAGUUGAUCUCACAGAAGCAGAGAGUAGAAUGAUGGUUACCAGAGGCUGGGAAUGGUGUGUAGGUGAGGGGUAGAAAUGAAGAGAGGUUGGUGAAUGGCUUCAAACACUCAGUUCCAUAGAAGAACUAAAUUCUGAUUUUCAAUAGCAGAGUAGGGUGUCUAUAGUUAACAACAAUGUAUUGACUAUUCCAGAAUAGCUACAAGGCAGGACUUGAAGUGUUCCCAACACAUAAAUCCACAAGGUGAUGGAUUUCCUAAAUACUCUGACUUGAUCAUUACACAUUCUAUGCAUGUAACAAAAUAUCACAGGUACCCCGUAAAUAUGUACAAAUAUUAUGUAUCAAAAUGGUUUUGUGAAACUGCCUGCAAGAUGAAAAACUGAACUUGGCCUGUCUAAGGAUGGCUACAGGUAUUCAGUUCUGGUCCCUUUGACUGAGGCAUUGGAGCAGCUGAGAGGAUGUCUCAGGCCUCCUGUGGGUGGAACACCCCUGGGCUGGCUGGGCACUGUUCCCCAGGCCCAGAGGACAGCUGUGUAAGGGAGAGAGAGCCUCCCUUUGGGAGAGUCGGGAGGAGCCCUCCCCACCAUAUGGGCUGGGAGAGGAGCGAUUCCAUGUCCUGGAAGGCCUUCUAUGUUAUCUCCACCUAUGGGAGUAAAAUAUCUGCCAACUAAAUAUUACAUUUCUUUCCAAAAGUAGUUUGAUAUAUUUUCCACAAAAUCAGUUUGCAUUUUGAAAUUUUCUAUCCUGACUCAAAGUACCGCCAUGACCCAAUUGCCCAAGCCAGUGUGGACUCCUCCCAGCCACCCCCAUCUCAGCAUCAGGCUGGCCUCAAAGCCUGAACUCCAUGACCUCCUGAAUUCCUCCCAUAUCUGUCACCUCCUCUGUGUCCCCGUCGGCACACCUCAGGACAGGCGUCCCUCAUCACUUCCCGGAGUCACCACAGCCACCUCCACUUACCUCCUCAUCACAUUAAAGCUCCUUGAACUUAAUCCAAAAGCUUCAGCUGGCCCCCAUUUCACAUCAAAUGAAGUCCAAAACCAAGAUCUGCCAUUCAAAGGCCAUAAUC
rnacentral:lncRNA from 10 species